rnacentral:sRNA from 1 species
UUUGGAUUGAAGGGAGCU